GUGAGGAAUUUUGCGCAAUGGGGGCAACCCUGACGCAGCGACGCCGCGUGGAGGACGAAGUCUUUCGGGAUGUAAACUCCUGUCAGUGGGGACGAUAAUGACGGUACCCACAGAGGAAGCACCGGCUAACUCCGUGCCAGCAGCCGCGGUAAGACGGAGGGUGCAAGCGUUGUUCGGCAUUACUGGGCGUAAAGCGUACGUAGGCGGCAAGUUAAGUUCAAUGUUAAAGCCCACGGCUCAACCGAGGAGUCGCAUUGAAUACUGGCUAGCUAGAGGGUGUUCGAGGAAGACGGAAUUCCCAGUGUAGCGGUGAAAUGCGUAGAUAUUGGGAGGAACAUCGGUAGCGAAAGCGGUCUUCUGGGACACACCUGACGCUGAGGUACGAAAGCGUGGGGAGCAAACGGGAUUAGAAACCCUAGUAGUCC
rnacentral:rRNA from 1 species